UUGAACCAGACAAAAGGAUUACGAUGAUAAUUUCUGUGAAAGAACACUUGCACAUGCUUGCAGACGAAAUUUCGUCAUACUUUCCAAAUCUACCUGACACCCCAUUUGCACUGGCCAGAAGCCCAUUCACAGUCAAAGUUGAAGAUGCUCCUGAGACAGCACAAGAGGAGUUCACUGAACCUAUUAACAGCGAUGCAGCGAGAACUGAUUUCUCUACAAGGCCAGUUACAAAAUUCUGGAUCAAGUGUUUGCAGUCAUAUCCUGUUCUGUCUGAGACUGUGUUGUGCCUUCUUCUUCCAUUUCCAACAACAUAUCUUUGUGAAACAGAGUUGCUUGUUGGUUAUCAAGUCUAAAUACAGAAGUAGACUUCCUGUGGAAGAUGAUAUUUGUUGUGCUCUUGCAAAGACUGCCCCGAGAAUUUCUGAUCUGGAAACCACAGUAUGACAGGAGUCCUGCUGCGUCAGACCAACAGAACUUGUCCAAACUGCCACCAGGCUGAUGUUUCCAGGCACCUUAAAAAAAGACAACAUGCUCCCUCCCUCUCCAGUAAACAGACCUCCCAUCAUGUUCCAAUUGCAAAAAGAAGAAGAAGAAGAAGAAGAAGAAGAAGAAGAAGAGGAGGAGGAGGAGGAGGA